GGUCUAAUACCGGAUACGACCGGAGAAGGCAUCUUCUCUGGUGGAAAGUUUUUCGAUCGGGGAUGGGCUCGCGGCCUAUCAGCUUGUUGGUGGGGUAAUGGCCCACCAAGGCGACGACGGGUAGCCGGCCUGAGAGGGCGACCGGCCACACUGGGACUGAGACACGGCCCAGACUCCUACGGGAGGCAGCAGUGGGGAAUAUUGCACAAUGGGGGAAACCCUGAUGCAGCGACGCAGCGUGCGGGAUGACGGCCUUCGGGUUGUAAACCGCUUUCAGCAGGGAAGAAGCGAAAGUGACGGUACCUGCAGAAGAAGUACCGGCUAACUACGUGC
rnacentral:rRNA from 1 species